ACAAAGGUUACUACAAAGUGGUUGUCCAAAUCAGUACAACCAGCAUUGAGAGAAGACAUUAGAUCUCCUGUGGAUGCAUUAAUAAAGAAGACUAAGACUAAAUUCUCAGUUGAUGUUUCAAGAAGUGUUGCCUAUAGGGCAAGGAGGAAUGCUGUUGGUGUGGUGCAGGGUGACCACAAGCAGCAGUAUUUGAGGCUGAGGGAUUAUCUUCAAGUUGAUCUUGAUACAAACCCUGGGAGCAGGUGUAUUGUCACAACAUUUGUUGACCCAGAAAACUUUGCACCCACUCCUAGAUUCAAGUACAUGUUCUACUGUUUGGCAGCUUCAAAGGAAGGGUUUCUUAAUGGUUGUAGACCAUUUAUAGGGCUUGAUGGAUGUUUCAUCAAGUUAACCACUGGACAACAAAUUCUUGCUGCCACAGGAAGGGAUGGCAACAACAACAUCUACCCUAUAGCUUUUGGUGUGGUUGACAAGGAAGAUGGA
rnacentral:rRNA from 1 species